rnacentral:rRNA from 1 species
CCUACGGGCGGCAGCAGUGGGGAAUAUUGCACAAUGGGGGAAACCCUGAUGCAGCGACGCCGCGUGAGUGAAGAAGUAUUUCGGUAUGUAAAGCUCUAUCAGCAGGGAAGAAAAUGACGGUACCUGAUUAAGAAGCCCCGGCUAACUACGUGCCAGCAGCCGCGGUAAUACGUAGGGGGCAAGCGUUAUCCGGAUUUACUGGGUGUAAAGGGAGCGUAGACGGCAGCACAAGUCUGGAGUGAAAGGCCGGGGCCCAACCCCCGGACUGCACUGGAAACUGUAAAGCUGGAGUGCAGGAGAGGUAAGCGGAAUUCCUAGUGUAGCGGUGAAAUGCGUAGAUAUUAGGAGGAACACCAGUGGCGAAGGCGGCUUACUGGACUGCAACUGACGUUGAGGCUCGAAAGCGUGGGGAGCAAACAGGAUUAGAUACCCUUGUAGUC